rnacentral:rRNA from 1 species
AUUGAACGCUGGCGGCAGGCCUAACACAUGCAAGUCGAACGGUAACAGGAAGAAGCUUGCUUCCUUGCUGACGAGUGGCGGACGGGUGAGUAAUGUCUGGGAAACUGCCUGAUGGAGGGGGAUAACUACUGGAAACGGUAGCUAAUACCGCAUAACGUCGCAAGACCAAAGAGGGGGACCUUCGGGCCUCUUGCCAUCGGAUGUGCCCAGAUGGGAUUAGCUUGUUGGUGGGGUAACGGCUCACCAAGGCGACGAUCCCUAGCUGGUCUGAGAGGAUGACCAGCCACACUGGAACUGAGACACGGUCCAGACUCCUACGGGAGGCAGCAGUGGGGAAUAUUGCACAAUGGGCGCAAGCCUGAUGCAGCCAUGCCGCGUGUAUGAAGAAGGCCUUCGGGUUGUAAAGUACUUUCAGCGGGGAGGAAGGGAGUAAAGUUAAUACCUUUGCUCAUUGACGUUACCCGCAGAAGAAGCACCGGCUAACUCCGUG